rnacentral:tRNA from 2 species
GCGCUCGUAGCUCAGGGGAUUAGAGCGCUGCCCUGCGGAGGCAGAGGUCGGAGGUUCGAAUCCUCCCGGGCGCACCA